rnacentral:Y_RNA from 1 species
GGCUGGUCCUUGUGCAGUAGUGUUUACAACUAUUUGAUCACAACCAAUUACAGUUCUUCCCCACUCCCAUUGCUUCACUUGACUGUCCUUAA